ACAUGUGGAUGGAGGGGUGAUGGCAGACUUGGAUAGGGCUGAUAAGCCUCAGGUUUCUAAGUAGGUGUCAGAAAAAAACUGAGGGUAUAGUGAUAGUUCCUGACAAUGGAGCAUUUAAAUUACUUAAACUGUGCAGCAGCCCUGGAAGUUUCACACUGUUGUCUCCUUUGACAGAAACUCUUUUGUAAAGUCACCAUGUGCUGGAAUCUAAGCCAAGGCUUUUCCUUUGGGGUGACAGAUGUUUUUCAUAAGGAGCAAUAAAAUGCUCUCUAGCGGUGAGGAACCUGCAGUGGUUUGCAGCUGUGGACAUCUGAACAUUCCCUGAGGACCUCUUGGCUCACCUCUGCAUGCGGAGAAUUAACAUUUAGUUUGGGAACAGAAUACCUCUCCCAGCACCUGAUCCUUGUCUAUUCCCCCUAUCUGGUUUGCUCUCCACACACCGGAGAUCUCCUGCUUACCUCCAGGCAAGUCGUCAUAGAGGACAGAGUUCAUUAUCCUGUCUGCAGUAUAAGCAUUUGAUUGUUUCCCAUAUUCCAAGCCUCUCACUCACCUUGACCAUCUCUUGAUACAGCCACUUCUUGGCAAGCUCUGUGUAAUUCAAGCUCUGUGUAGUUAGAGAAAGCAUCUUUGAUCAGGGCAUCAAUUCUAAAUACCAUAGAGAUUUUGGAGACUUCUUGCUAACCUGGUAGGCUCCUAUAGUAUUUGUCUGAAGAAAGAGACACCAGUCAUUACACAAGGUCCCUGACCACCAUCUAUCUUUUUGUGUUCAUCUCUGGAACAUGGCUCCCAUGCAGAUACUGAUUCUUGAAUACUGGAGCUGCCAUUUCAUCUCAGAACCCUGCCAAAGGUCCAUCCAGCCCAACCCCUUCCUGUCUACAGUGGACCAGAAACUUGACAUUGGCUAAGGCCACUGGAACUGGUACACACAGCACCUGAGUUUAGAAUGGAAAUAGAAGUAGCAAUACUUAUUAACGUCCCCAAAGGAAGGGGAAGUAAAAAUAGAAACCUUAGGAAGAAAUAAUGAGUAUCAGAAUUGAUAAGGAAAAUUCCAAGCCUGGACACAUUAUUAGUGAGAUUUAAAACAAAAGCAAAGAUGAGUUCUGAAAACUGACAAAGAGCAGGGCACCUGUGAAAGAGAAAGUAUGAUUAACUUCAGAUUCCACGACACCAAUGCUGUAAAUAAGAAGACUUCCUCUAAUGAGGGAAGAAACAGAAUUUAAAGAUAAUGUUAUAGAAGAUUUGGAAAAAAAAAUUGACAUAAUGACAUAUAUAGAACAUUAUCAACAACUACAGGAUACACAUAUAUUUCAAGUAAGUUGGAACAUUUACCAGAAUUGAUAUGCUGAACCACAAAUCAAAUCUCAGCAAUGAGUAAAAGAUACACAAUGAAACCAAGGUAGAACUCAAUAACAGAAGAUAUGGGUAACUGAAACAUCCUAAAGUAUUUGGAAAUUAAAGAGUAUACUAUUAACCAUGUGUCAAAGAAAAAGUAAAAAUGGAAAUUAGAAAUAUUUUUAAUUGAGUCAUUAUGAACAUAAGUAUCUAAACUUGGGGAAUGCAGUUAAUAUUCAUAGGAAAUUUGCAGCCAAAAGGAAUAUAAUGAUAAAUGCUUAAAAUCAAUUAUCUCAAUAUCCAUCUAAAGAAGUUAGAAAAAGAACAAAUUAAAUAUAAAAAUAA